rnacentral:rRNA from 1 species
GGCGAACGCUGGCGGCGUGCUUAACACAUGCAAGUCGAACGAAGAGCGACGGAAGCUUGCUUCUAUCAAUCUUAGUGGCGAACGGGUGAGUAACGCGUAAUCAACCUGCCCUUCAGAGGGGGACAACAGUUGGAAACGACUGCUAAUACCGCAUACGAUCUAGUCUCGGCAUCGAGGAUGGAUGAAAGGUGGCCUCUACAUGUAAGCUAUCACUGAAGGAGGGGAUUGCGUCUGAUUAGCUAGUUGGAGGGGUAACGGCCCACCAAGGCGAUGAUCAGUAGCCGGUCUGAGAGGAUGAACGGCCACAUUGGGACUGAGACACGGCCCAGACUCCUACGGGAGGCAGCAGUGGGGAAUCUUCCGCAAUGGACGAAAGUCUGACGGAGCAACGCCGCGUGAGUGAUGACGGCCUUCGGGUUGUAAAGCUCUGUUAAUCGGGACGAAAGGCCUUCUUGCGAAUAGUGAGAAGGAUUGACGGUACCGGAAGAGAAAGCCACGGCUAACUACGUG